AUGAACGCUGGCGGCGUGCCUAAUACAUGCAAGUCGCGCGAACAGACGAGGAGCUUGCUCCUCUGACGUUAGCGGCGGACGGGUGAGUAACACGUGGAUAACCUACCUAUAAGACUGGGAUAACUUCGGGAAACCGGAGCUAAUACCGGAUAAUAUAUUGAACCGCAUGGUUCAAUAGUGAAAGACGGUUUUGCUGUCACUUAUAGAUGGAUCCGCGCCGCAUUAGCUAGUUGGUAAGGUAACGGCUUACCAAGGCGACGAUGCGUAGCCGACCUAAGAGGGUGAUCGGCCACACUGGAACUGAGACACGGUCCAGACUCCUACGGGAGGCAGCAGUAGGGAAUCUUCCGCAAUGGGCGAAAGCCUGACGGAGCAACGCCGCGUGAGUGAUGAAGGUCUUCGGAUCGUAAAACUCUGUUAUUAGGGAAGAACAAAUGUGUAAGUAACUAUGCACGUCUUGACGGUACCUAAUCAGAAAGCCACGGCUAACUACGUG
rnacentral:rRNA from 1 species